CCUACGGGUGGCAGCAGUGGGGAAUAUUGGGCAAUGGGCGCAAGUCUGACCCAGCAACGCCGCGUGAAGGAAGAAGGCUCUCGGGUUGUUAACUUUCUUUUAGAGGGAAGUGCAGAAGACGGUACCUCUUGAAUAAGCCACAGCUAACUAAGUGGCAGCAGCCGCGGUAAUACGUAGGGGGCAAGCGUUGUCCGGAUUUACUGGGUGUAAAGGGCGUGCAGCCGGGAAGACAAGUCAGAGGUGAAAUCCCGCGGCUCAACCGCGGAACUGCAUUUGAAACUGUUUUUCUUGAGUACCGGAGAGGUCAGCGGAAUUCCUUGUGUAGCGGUGAAAUGCGUAGAUAUAAGGAAGAACACCAGUGGCGAAGGCGGAUGACUGGACGGCAACUGACGGUGAGGCGCGAAAGCGUGGGGAGCAAACAGGAUUAGAUACCCUAGUAGUC
rnacentral:rRNA from 1 species